UGGAUGAACGCUAGCUACAGGCUUAACACAUGCAAGUCGAGGGGCAGCAUGGUCUUAGCUUGCUAAGGCCGAUGGCGACCGGCGCACGGGUGAGUAACACGUAUCCAACCUGCCGUCUACUCUUGGACAGCCUUCUGAAAGGAAGAUUAAUACAAGAUGGCAUCAUGAGUCCGCAUGUUCACAUGAUUAAAGGUAUUCCGGUAGACGAUGGGGAUGCGUUCCAUUAGAUAGUAGGCGGGGUAACGGCCCACCUAGUCUUCGAUGGAUAGGGGUUCUGAGAGGAAGGUCCCCCACAUUGGAACUGAGACACGGUCCAAACUCCUACGGGAGGCAGCAGUGAGGAAUAUUGGUCAAUGGGCGAGAGCCUGAACCAGCCAAGUAGCGUGAAGGAUGACUGCCCUAUGGGUUGUAAACUUCUUUUAUAAAGGAAUAAAGUCGGGUAUGCAUACCCGUUUGCAUGUACUUUAUGAAUAAGGAUCGGCUAACUCCGUGCCAGCAGCCGCGGUAAUACGGAGGAUCCGAGCGUUAUCCGGAUUUAUUGGGUUUAAAGGGAGCGUAGAUGGAUGUUUAAGUCAGUUGUGAAAGUUUGCGGCUCAACCGUAAAAUUGCAGUUGAUACUGGAUAUCUUGAGUGCAGUUGAGGCAGGCGGAAUUCGUGGUGUAGCGGUGAAAUGCUUAGAUAUCACGAAGAACUCCGAUUGCGAAGGCAGCCUGCUAAGCUGCAACUGACAUUGAGGCUCGAAAGUGUGGGUAUCAAACAGGAUUAGAUACCCUGGUAGUCCACACGGUAAACGAUGAAUACUCGCUGUUUGCGAUAUACAGCAAGCGGCCAAGCGAAAGCGUUAAGUAUUCCACCUGGGGAGUACGCCGGCAACGGUGAAACUCAAAGGAAUUGACGGGGGCCCGCACAAGCGGAGGAACAUGUGGUUUAAUUCGAUGAUACGCGAGGAACCUUACCCGGGCUUAAAUUGCAGAUGAAUUACGGUGAAAGCCGUAAGCCGCAAGGCAUCUGUGAAGGUGCUGCAUGGUUGUCGUCAGCUCGUGCCGUGAGGUGUCGGCUUAAGUGCCAUAACGAGCGCAACCCUUGUUGUCAGUUACUAACAGGUUCCGCUGAGGACUCUGACAAGACUGCCAUCGUAAGAUGUGAGGAAGGUGGGGAUGACGUCAAAUCAGCACGGCCCUUACGUCCGGGGCUACACACGUGUUACAAUGGGGGGUACAGAGGGCCGCUACCACGCGAGUGGAUGCCAAUCCCAAAAACCUCUCUCAGUUCGGACUGGAGUCUGCAACCCGACUCCACGAAGCUGGAUUCGCUAGUAAUCGCGCAUCAGCCACGGCGCGGUGAAUACGUUCCCGGGCCUUGUACACACCGCCCGUCAAGCCAUGGGAGCCGGGGGUACCUGAAGUGCGUAACCGCGAGGAGCGCCCUAGGGUAAAACUGGU
rnacentral:rRNA from 1 species